UCCCGCUUAGCUCAGUGGUAGAGCGCGUCACUAGUAAUUUCCCGCGACUUGAACGGCGUUCAAUAGGGGUUUGCACAAUGACGAGGCCACUUGUUCGAGUCAGGUAGUGGGAA